CCCUUUGCCACCAGAGGAGCCAGGCUUUCAUCCUGGUGGUAACGUCUUCGUUACAUUUCUGCUUUAUACCCCAUAGCAAACAUAUAAUCUGUAUGCUUCACAAAUUGCUACUGUGGCUAUACUGUAUACCUCACUGGUAUCCAGGACACCCUACCACUUAAUCAGCUCACGAGACCGUUCUGGACCUAUAACGAGAUUCCUCUAAGUUAAACCAGCAUGAUGAAACUCCCCUUGCUCUUCUGUGGAGCAGUGCUUGGGUUCAUUCUCCAAAGACGUUUUCCUGGCACUUCUCAGAAGAGGGCUGUACCUUGGUCCUAAAGAAGUCAGUAACAGCUGAUGAAGAAUGAUACUAAUACAGUGAUGGUGAAAGAUACCUUGUUGAAUGGAAAGCUUGCAGACAUGGAGGACCAUCUAAUCAUCAGACUCACCUUGCCACCUGAACAGGAACAUCUGCAAGUGGAGAGAUUUUUCACCUUCGGUCAUAAGAUUCCCAAAUACAUUAAUUAUUCCUAGAUUGGAAGUAAGGCAGUAAUUACUUACAAGAGAUUUGGCACCUUGAAAAGUAUUUGUGCAAAAAUUUCCCUCCAUUAAAUUCUUGUCCCAGUAAACCUCUCCAGCAAACAGUCUAACAUCCCUAAGUCUGGCAGGUCCAGUUCAGUCCCUUCUGCUAGCCGCAUACCCAUGAAUUUGACAACAUUUUCCAAAGGUGCUGUUUAAAGCUGGUUGUAGCAAAAAAUUAAACAAACAACAUUGAUAAUGGGAAUAACCUCAGAGAGAAUUUAUUUUUUGGUGACCAGAACUCUUACAAUAAUUUACUAUUGUAUGAAGUGAUCCAGACGGUUUACUUAAAAUAUUCCUCUCUUCCACAUGGAGAGAGAGAUGACCACAGGAAACAGUUCUAGAAAGCCAUUUUCUUUCCCUUGUGGCUUGUUCUGCUAAAUCAGUUACAGCAAAGAGCUGCUCCAAAUGGUGCAUUUUUCCUGUCUUGGUUUAUUUUGUACUUGUUCAAUAAAAUAGAUUCCAGAAAA